UCUAAUCUGCCCACCAAAAAAGGGUCUCUGCCUUAAGAAAGGUAAGAGAAGAGAAGGGUUUUUCUCUCCGCAAGGGUUUUGCUGGAUUUUCUUCUCUUCAAUGAAAUAAAUCGAAGAUGGCUUCUUCCAUGGCAAUCCGUUGUUCACAGCCACCAAAACUGUUUUCUCUCCACUCUUCAAGGUACGCUCCCUUCAACACUUGAAUAACAAAACCCGAAUCCUUCCUAAAACCCUCUCCACUUCGGCUAUACCAAAUGUCUAUCGAACAACAUCACCUCCUUCUCAUUCUUCUGAUCAAAGAUUUUACGGAGACGAGUUGGGAAACCCUCCUCCUCCUCAUCAUCAUCAUCAUCAUCAUCAUCAGUCGACCUCACAACCUGGAAACUUCAUUCUCAAUCAACGGACCCAAAAUCAGCAAUACCCUCCUCCAAACCAUUAUAAUUAUCCAAAUACGGUAUACCCUAAUCAGGGUUGUGCCUAUCCUAAUCAAGAAGGAUAUCCUCAACAACACCAGCACCAGUAUCAAACCCCUAAUCCAUGGAAUCAGAAUUAUCCUCAGCAGGAUAAUCAAUGGAAUCAAAAUUAUUCCCAGCACCAAAACCCUCCUCAGGUUAGACCUAAUGUUCGGGGGAAUUAUGGCCACCCCGGAAGCCCAAAUCGAUGGGACAACCGAAUCAGGGAUACCCACAACAGAGAAACACUGAUCAGUGGGCCCCACGUGUGGGUCCGGCCAAUCGACGACAGGAUAUGAAUGUUAAUGCUAGUGUUAAUGCUCAUGCUAAUGUUCCAGCUCCGCCUCCGCCUCUUUCGGUUUAUGACUUGGCGCGUUUGUGUCAAGAGGGUAAGGUUAACCAAGCUAUAGAGUUCUUGGAAAGUCCGCUUGAUCCAUCAAAGGCUGUUGGGAGUUUGGGAUUAGUCCAACUCUUGAGCAUUAUUUGGGGGUUAUAGAUGUUCUUGGAAAGUCCGCUUAUCUUAACGAGGCUGAGGAGUAUAUUGAGAAACUUCCAUUUGAACCCACAGUGGAAAUUUGGGAGGCCUUAAGGAAAUAUGCUCAAAAUCAUGGAGACAUUGAUCUUGAAGACCAGGCUGAGGAAUUGAUCAUUUCCCUUGAUCCAUCAAAGGCUGUUGCUAAUAAAAUCCCAACUCCGCUAAUUAAACUGUGGUAUAGAGAAUUCCCUUCAAGUGCAAAGAACAGGGGCCAGUGCUCUCCUUUGGCAGAUUUGUUGUACAUUAGUGUCGAUGCUUGAUGGUUAGUUUUCAAUUGGAAAAUUUGCAUGGUGUUUUUGGUGGUUUCAAAUCCUGUUUCCAUGCCUUCCCUGCUUGAAGGUAGUCACAAAUAGGAAAAAUGUCUCUGGUAAACAGGUAACAUUUCUCGUGAAUUGAUGGGGGAACUUGUUAUAUAAAUGUGGUGGGAAGGGAAUGUAAGGACCAAGGAGGAUUAUUUGAAGGUUUUCUCUGCUUUGAUGUAAUUAGCAUACAGUCUUUUAUGAUUUCUUUUUUAUUGAUAUGAAACAAGUCUUAACUGUCGAUGAAAGCAGUGUUCGAUAAAGAAGAAUAAUCCAUUAUUUUUGGCCUUCCUAUCUGAACAGAACUUAUUUCGAGUUUCACAUUAUACUUACUUGAAGACUUAAAUGAA